rnacentral:rRNA from 1 species
UUGAUUACGUCCCUGCCCUUUGUACACACCGCCCGUCGCUGCCCGGAACUGAGCAAUGUCGAGAAGACUGGGGAUAUGUUCCUUUUAGGAACGUAAAACCAGUUUAAUCGCUAUUGUUUGAACCGGGCAAAAGUCGUAACAAGGUUUUCGUAGGUGAACCUGCGAAAGGAUCAUUAUGGUUAAAAACAAUUGAGAUGUUUGAAAUGAAAUUGUUGGUUAUUAUAAUAAUAUUAAAUUAUUUUUUAAAAAUAAGCCAACCAUAUUAUAUAUUAUAUUAUUAGAAUUAUACGAGUAAAAUCGUGUCGGUGGAUCACUUGGUUCAUGGGUCGAUGAAGAACGCAGCUAAAUGCGAUAAGUAAACCGAAUUGCUAAGCUGAGGUUUAAAUUUUUGAAUGCAUAUUGCGCCUAUCGGUAGCUUGCUACUACUGGCAUGUAUUUUUGAGGGUUGGAACAACAAUUGUAUCUUUUGAUAUUUAUGGGAUAUUUUCAUCCAAAGUAUCCUUAUUGUUCAAUUAACGUUUGGUUAAGACUAACGGCAUCCGCCUGUGUAAAGUUUAAUCAAACAACAUGUUAAUUUCUAUUAUUAUUUUGUUUAGCCUCAAAAAUGUAUGAUUACCCGCUGAACUUAAGCAUAUCGUUAAGCGGAGGAAAAGAAACUAAAUAGGAUUACCUUAGUAACGGCGAGUGAAA